rnacentral:rRNA from 1 species
CUGAUGCAGCAACGCCGCGUGAGGGAUGACGGCCUUCGGGUUGUAAACCUCUUUUAGCAGGGAAGAAGCGAAAGUGACGGUACCUGCAGAAAAAGCGCCGGCUAACUACGUGCCAGCAGCCGCGGUAAUACGUAGGGCGCAAGCGUUAUCCGGAAUUAUUGGGCGUAAAGAGCUCGUAGGCGGUUUGUCGCGUCUGCUGUGAAAUCCCGAGGCUCAACUUCGGGUCUGCAGUGGGUACGGGCAGACUAGAGUGCGGUAGGGGAGAUUGGAAUUCCUGGUGUAGCGGUGGAAUGCGCAGAUAUCAGGAGGAACACCGAUGGCGAAGGCAGAUCUCUGGGCCGUAACUGACGCUGAGGAGCGAAAGGGUGGGGAGCAAACAGGCUUAGAUACCCUGGUAGUCCACCCCGUAAACGUUGGGAACUAGUUGUGGGGUCCAUUCCACGGAUUCCGUGACGCAGCUAACGCAUUAAGUUCCCCGCCUGGGGAGUACGGCCGCAAGGCUAAAACUCAAAGGAAUUGACGGGGACCCGCACAAGCGGCGGAGCAUGCGGAUUAAUUCGAUGCAACGCGAAGAACCUUACCAAGGCUUGACAUAUACGAGAACGCUGCAGACUGUAGAACUCUUUGGACACUCGU